UGAACACUGCUCGACUGCUCUUCAAUUGUUACUUUUAUUUUUAUUACUCAAUCUUCUUAGAUCAAGUGCGAAGUGACGUUUACAAAAUAUCAGCCGUUCGUGUGUGUUACUGUGUGUAUUCUUUGGCAAUUUUGUUCAAUUAUAGAUUAUUGAAACUCAGAUAAAGGCAGAUAGGAGAAAAGAUUGACUAGGAUAUUCAAGACGAGAAAAUGACACGCGAGCAUAGACGCGAGUGAUGGACGACGUGGCAAAUCAUCUU